UGGGGAAUAUUGCACAAUGGACGGAAGUCUGAUGCAGCAACGCCGCGUGCGGGAUGACGGCCUUCGGGUUGUAAACCGCUUUUUCUCAUGACGAAGUUUUUUGACGGUAGUGGGGGAAGAAGCACCGGCUAACUACGUUCCAGCAGCCGCGGUGAUACGUAGGGUGCGAGCGUUGUCCGGAAUUAUUGGGCGUAAAGAGCUUGUAGGCGGUUUGUCGCGUCGAUAGUGCAAACUCAGUGCUUAACGCUGAGCCUGCUGUUGAUACGGGCAGACUAGAGGAAGGUAGGGGAGAAUGGAAUUCCCGGUGGAGAGGUGGAAUGCGCAGAUAUCGGGAGGAACACCGGUGGCGAAGGCGGUUCUCUGGGCCUUUCCUGACGCUGAGAAGCGAAAGCGUGGGGAGCGAACAGG
rnacentral:rRNA from 1 species